AACGAACGCUGGCGGCAUGCCUAACACAUGCAAGUCGAACGAGACCUUCGGGUCUAGUGGCGCACGGGUGCGUAACGCGUGGGAAUCUGCCCUCUGGUACGGAAUAACUCAGGGAAACUUGAGCUAAUACCGUAUAAUGACUUCGGUCCAAAGAUUUAUCGCCUGAGGAUGAGCCCGCGUCGGAUUAGCUAGUUGGUGAGGUAAAAGCUCACCAAGGCGACGAUCCGUAGCUGGUCUGAGAGGAUGAUCAGCCACACUGGGACUGAGACACGGCCCAGACUCCUACGGGAGGCAGCAGUGGGGAAUAUUGGACAAUGGGCGAAAGCCUGAUCCAGCAAUGCCGCGUGAGUGAUGAAGGCCUUAGGGUUGUAAAGCUCUUUUACCCGGGAUGAUAAUGACAGUACCGGGAGAAUAAGCCCCGGCUAACUCCGUGCCAGCAGCCGCGGUAAUAC
rnacentral:rRNA from 1 species